AUGGACAGCAUCCUGAUGGUCAAGAGCGAGAUCGAGAGCUACGCGGGGCAGCCCGCGGUGCUGGGUGGCGGCGGCGGCGGCGAGGUCGUGGUCAGGAGGAGGAGGAGGGAGCCCACGCUCGGGCCGGUCGGCGGCGGCAUCGGCAAGGCGUCCCUGCCCGGCGUCGCCGUCAAGAGGAGCUCCCGGUUCCGUGGGGUGAGCAGGCAUCGGUGGACGGGCCGCUACGAGGCGCACCUGUGGGACAAGAACUCGUGGAACCCCACGCAGAGGAAGAAGGGCAAGCAGGUGUAUCUUGGAGCGUACGACGAGGAGGAGGCAGCGGCGAGGGCCUACGACCUGGCUGCUCUCAAGUACUGGGGCGCCACCACCUACACCAACUUCCCGGUCAUGGACUACGACAAGGAGCUCAAGAUCAUGGAGACCCUCACCAAGGAGGAGUACCUGGCGUCGCUAAGGAGGAAGAGCAGCGGCUUCUCCAGAGGCGUGUCCAAGUACCGCGGCGUCGCCAGGCACCACCAGAACGGACGAUGGGAGGCGAGGAUCGGGCGCGUCUUCGGGAACAAGUACCUCUACCUCGGCACCUACGGCACGCAGGAGGAGGCGGCGCGCGCCUACGACAUCGCGGCCAUCGAGUACAAGGGCGUCAACGCCGUCACCAACUUCGACCUCAGGUCCUACAUCACGUGGCUCAAGCCCCCCGUCGCCGGCCCGGCGGCGCUCGCCGACCACCUCCUCGCCGGCAUGCACACGCAGCUCCCUCCCAGCCCCGUGGAGCACGAGCGCUUCCUCCCGGCCGAGGCCCACAUCAUGCUCCCUCCCACGACGGCGGCGGCGGCCCCGGGCAGCCCUUUCAUCCUCGACCACAGCGCGGCGGCGCUCGGUGGCGGCCUGAGGAGGAGGAGCUCGUCGUCGUCCUCGUCCACGGCGCUCAGCCUGCUGCUCAAGUCGACCAUGUUCAAGCAGCUCGUGGAGAGGAACGACCCGGAUUCGCCGCAGGGCACGGGAGGGUGCGCGGAUCGCGUCGGGGAGCUGCCGGCGGGGGAAGGGUCGUACGAGUACCGCGACUUCUUCCAUGGGGUUUCUUCCGACGUGUGCGGCCUCUUCUCGUCGCCAAGCAACGCUUGUGGCAACAAUGCGGGGUUUCAGGGGGCCGCCGUGGCGUCGUGCUACGGUAGCGGCGAGAGGAUGGCACCGACGACGACGCCCUGGGAUGGGUUUGGGGACAUUGCGGCGCUACAAUAG
rnacentral:rRNA from 1 species